CUCAGAGCGAACGUUAGCGGCGCGCCUAACACAUGCAAGUCGCACGAGAAAGGGCUUCGGCCCCGGUACAGUGGCGCACGGGUGAGUAACACGUGGGUAACCUUCCCGGGUGUGGUGGAUAACCUGCCGAAAGGCGGGCUAAGACAGCAUACGCUGCGUCCCUUUCGAGGGGCGCAGGAAAGCAGGCCUCUAUACAUAAGCUUGCGCACACGGACGGGCCCGCGUCCCAUCAGCUAGUUGGUGAGGUAACGGCUCACCAAGGCGACGACGGGUAGCUGGUCUGAGAGGAUGGCCAGCCACACUGGAACUGAGACACGGUCCAGACUCCUACGGGAGGCAGCAGUGGGGAAUCUUGCGCAAUGGGCGAAAGCCUGACGCAGCGACGCCGCGUGGGUGACGAAGGCCUUCGGGUUGUAAAGCCCUGUGGGGCGGGACGAACUCGUGCCGGGUAAACAACCCGGUGCGUUGACGGUACCGCCUUAGCAAGCACCGGCUAACUCUGUGCCAGCAGCCGCGGUAAGACAGAGGGUGCAAACGUUGCUCGGAAUUACUGGGCGUAAAGCGCGUGUAGGCGGUCUCGCGAGUCGGGUGUGAAAGCCCGGGGCUCAACCCCGGACGUGCACUCGAUACUACGAGGCUGGAGUACUGUAGAGGAGAGCGGAAUUCCCGGUGUAGAGGUGAAAUUCGUAGAUAUCGGGAGGAACACCAGUGGCGAAGGCGGCUCUCUGGACAGUGACUGACGCUGAGACGCGAAAGCGUGGGUAGCAAACAGGAUUAGAUACCCUGGUAGUCCACGCCGUAAACGAUGAACACUGGGUGUUGCGGGUAUUGACCCCCGCGGUGCCGAAGCCAACGCGUUAAGUGUUCCGCCUGGGAAGUACGGCCGCAAGGCUAAACUUAA
rnacentral:rRNA from 1 species